CCUUGUGUUGGGGUGCAUUGGUCCAGAGUUUUUGCUCCCUUACCUCCUUGUAACUAAAGCUGAGGUUGACGGAAGGAAACUGGCUAAGCUGGGAGGUGGCAAGGCUGGGGUCACAGAGUCUUUCUUGUUGUGUGUGAGACAAGGCCUUUACCCAGCCCUGGGGUGACAGGAGCCGCUGUCUCAUCUGUAGGCCUGCACCCCUAUGUUCCGGGAGUACUCCUUACAAGUGUUGCGGAACGCCCAAGCCAUGGCCGACGCCCUGCUCAAGCGAGGAUACUCGCUGGUGUCUGGUGGCACUGACACCCACCUGGUGCUGGUGGACCUGCGGCCCAAGGGCCUGGAUGGAGCACGGGCCGAGCGUGUGUUGGAGCUUGUGUCCAUCACAGCCAACAAGAACACCUGUCCUGGAGACCGGAGUGCCAUUACUCCGGGAGGCUUGAGGCUUGGGGCCCCAGCAUUGACUUCUCGUCAAUUCCGUGAGGAUGACUUCCGGAGGGUCGUUGAUUUUAUCGAUGAAGGAGUCA
rnacentral:lncRNA from 1 species